rnacentral:rRNA from 1 species
GACGAACGCUGGCGGCGUGCCUAAUACAUGCAAGUAGAACGCUGAAGGAAGGAGCUUGCUCUUUCUGGAUGAGUUGCGAACGGGUGAGUAACGCGUAGGUAACCUGCCUGGUAGCGGGGGAUAACUAUUGGAAACGAUAGCUAAUACCGCAUAAAAUUGAUUAUUGCAUGAUAGUCAAUUAAAAGGUGCAACUGCACCACUACCAGAUGGACCUGCGUUGUAUUAGCUAGUUGGUGGGGUAACGGCUCACCAAGGCGACGAUACAUAGCCGACCUGAGAGGGUGAUCGGCCACACUGGGACUGAGACACGGCCCAGACUCCUACGGGAGGCAGCAGUAGGGAAUCUUCGGCAAUGGACGGAAGUCUGACCGAGCAACGCCGCGUGAGUGAAGAAUGUUUUCGGAUCGUAAAGCUCUGUCGUAAGAGAAGAACGAGUGUGAGAGUGGAAAGUUCACACUGUGACGGUAUCUUACCAGAAAGGGACGGCUAACUACGUG